GAGUAUUGAUUUGCCUUUUUUAAGUGUGUUGAAGGGAAUUCUAUUUGUCUGAAGCAAUUUCAUUCUUUAAGUAAGUACAUCUCAUAUUUUAUGCAAGACUUAAAUCUCCAGGUGUGACUUUUUCCAGCACACACCUAAGCAAAGCAAACACAACUUAAAGUGAGUAUUACUGACUGUUACUCUCACAGUAACAUGUGAGGUGCUAAUGACAACCUCUGGAAAAUGGCCAAUCAAUACAUAUGGUCUAUGUCUCCAUGCAACUGAAUAAUCUUUAGAAAUCUCUGAACUAUUUUCACUAUAAUAAUAUUGGUAGAUCUUCUAGUAUUUUAUGUUUGGAAGCACUGCUGUGAAUUGAACUUAAAAUGUUUACUUGUAUAUGUUAACUACAAUCCAUUAAUUAUAUUGCAUGUGAUAUAUUACUUAUAUAAUAUGCAUAUAUAAAUAACAUAUACUCCAUUAAUUGUAUUGCAUGCAUAUAUAUUAGGUAUGUGUUACAAUGUUUCUCUUGUGCUUUGUUGCUGUUGAUAGAUGAUUUCAUUGAGUGUUGAAGAAGCCUAGCACGCCUGCCAUGAGUCUCACUGGCAUUAUGGCCUUAUUUAUUAGAAAGUAUGUGUUUACUUUUUAUUGAUGAUGCCAUAGUUUCAAAUUAUUACAAUUUCAUGUAGGAAAACAUUUUUCUGUCUGGUUUAGAAUGCUCUGGGCCUUGUGAGCACAUGAUUUUUUGUCUUCCCGAGUAAGGCUUUAUGACUUAGAUGAUUCUUGCUGCGCCUCUACCUUCUCUCUGUGUUCUCCAGUUCCCCCACCCCCACCUCUCGCCUUUCUCUCCUGCUCUUGGACUCCUCAUUCACUUCGUUGACUUCAGAGUUCGCAAUCUGCAUUCCAUUUCCAUCUUAGCCCUGUUACAUUACCUAACGAAAAUAUUCCUGGAUGUGUACUUACAACACUCAACACUGUAAGUGAAUUCUUAGUUUGAAUAGCUCCCUAACCAAGGUUUAAUCUUGACCCACAGGCAACUGCAUCCAGAUUUUUUAAUGUAGGCUUUGCAUAGAAGGUGCUUGAAUACUUUUUGUUAAGUAAAUGAAUGUUUCUAAUACGGCCACAAUUACUAAACAGGUUAAUAUGGUAAAUAUUUUGGAUAAUGAUGCCAAAAAUUAACAUUAAAAUGUAAAAACCUCAACCAGACACAUGCUGCUGGUGGUAUUGUUAGGAGCCACUGAGUGAAAAAAUAAAUAUAUGUAUAUGUUUGUUUAUUUGCUUAUUUAUUUAUCUAUUUAUGAUGAGGCACCUCCCAUGAAUGUUUUCCUAUUGGAGUCUACUUGACUCUUUCUACAGACUAUAAUUACUCCAACUUCAUGAAAAAAAUAUUGCUAUCGUCAUAUGUCAGUAUACAUGAUCAUCUGUUCACUUUUAAAGUGUAAUUUCUCUUAAAAUAGGCACAUUGUAUGGAAAUUGAGACAUUUUUCUAACCAUGUUUAAGUCUCCACAUGCUCAUGAUGCUGUUAACUAACUUGUAUUGCUAAUUACCCACUGUCUUUCUUAAUAUCAUACAAGUGACACAGAUCAGCUUCUCCCAGCAUUCCCGGCAAAGAUGAAAUCUACUUUCACAGCUGGGAAUAAUUCAGUCCUUGGCAUGCAGCGGCUUAGCUUUCUAUCUUGGGAAAAAUUCUUUUUUGGUCCAACAGUUUAUUACAAAAAUGAUUCAGGCUUCUGUUUACAUGAUGAAAAACGCAAAAUAAAUGGUAUUAUUUUAUUGGGAAAAUGGGACUAGUGCCUUCAAAGCAACUUGAAAAAUCCAAAUCGGUUUAAGCUGUUUUAUUUCCUUUAGAAGAAAAUGGGGCUUUUAAAGUUCUUACCCAACUCUGUGUUUCUUGAGUUCUUCCAUGAAAUGGAUUUUUCUUUUUGUUGCUAGAUAAUCUGCACAUUGAAAUAAGGGUUUUUCUCAGUGAGGGCCAAGCAGUGGUUUUAUAGAAGUAUGACAAUGCAUCAACUUU
rnacentral:lncRNA from 1 species